GGGCCCGCACAAGCGGUGGAGCAUGUGGUUUAAUUCGAUGAUACGCGAGGAACCUUACCAGGGCUUAAAUGUAGUGGGACAGGUCUAGAGAUAGACCCUUCUUCGGACUCAUUACAAGGUGCUGCAUGGUUGUCGUCAGCUCGUGCCGUGAGGUGUCAGGUUAAGUCCUAUAACGAGCGCAACCCCUAUCGUUAGUUGCCAGCGGGUAAUGCCGGGAACUCUAGCGAAACUGCCGGUGCAAACCGUGAGGAAGGUGGGGAUGACGUCAAAUCAUCACGGCCCUUACGUCCUGGGCUACACACGUGCUACAAUGGUCGGUACAGAGAGCAGCCACUAUGCGAAUAGGAGCUAAUCUUUAAAACCGGUCUCAGUUCGGAUCGCAGUCUGCAACUCGACUGCGUGAAGCUGGAAUCGCUAGUAAUCG
rnacentral:rRNA from 1 species